UACGGAGGGCGCAAUCGAUAUCCGGAAUUACUGGGUUUAAAGGGUGCGUAGGCGGCUUGAUAAGUCAGGGGUGAAAGUUUAUCGCGUAACGAUAGAAAUGCCUUUGAUACUGUAAAGCUUGAAAGGGGUUGAGGUCAGCAGAAUGUGGCAUGUAGCGGUGAAAUGCAUAGAUAUGCCAUAGAAAACCGAUUGCGAAGGCAGCUGGCUGGGCCUACUUUGCCGCUGAGGCACGAAAGCGUGGGAAGCGAACAGG
rnacentral:rRNA from 1 species